rnacentral:rRNA from 1 species
UGGGGAAUAUUGGACAAUGGGCGAAAGCCUGAUCCAGCCAUGCCGCGUGUGUGAAGAAGGUCUUCGGAUUGUAAAGCACUUUAAGUUGGGAGGAAGGGCAGUAAGCGAAUACCUUGCUGUGUUGACGUUACCGACAGAAUAAGCACCGGCUAACUCUGUGCCAGCAGCCGCGGUAAUACAGAGGGUGCAAGCGUUAAUCGGAAUUACUGGGCGUAAAGCGCGCGUAGGUGGUUCGUUAAGUUGAAUGUGAAAGCCCCGGGCUCAACCUGGGAACUGCAUCCAAAACUGGCGAGCUAGAGGAGGGCAGAGGGUGGUGGAAUUUCCUGUGUAGCGGUGAAAUGCGUAGAUAUAGGAAGGAACACCAGUGGCGAAGGCGACCACCUGGGCUCAUACUGACACUGAGGUGCGAAAGCGUGGGGAGCAAACAGG